UAUAUUGGAAGACAAAUGAAUCUGCUUCAUCCUCAAAUGCUGGUUCUAGAGAAGAGAUCUCAGUUGAAAUGCUGCUCUGUCUGAUGUGGAGAAAUUUGAUCCAAAUUUCUCCCAAGGAUCUGGUUGUCUCAACAAGAGCAAAACCCGAAGGAACACUGCUUUGCUUUAUUUUUGAGGAUUCUAGUUUGACUGGUCAAAGGAACAUGAGAUCGGUUGCCUAUGUGAUGUUUUCCACCCAUCAGGAAUGGGAGAAGCUAUCACAUAGUUGAUCUUUGCUACUCAGACCCUGCAGCCAAAUUGUUGACUGAGCUUUUCAGCCCCUAUCCAGAUCUCGAGGGCUUGUGGAGACAGUGCUGUUUCUCUCUGCCUCAAUCCUACUGCUGUUGACCACUGUUUUGAGGAGUGGAAAGAAGUUGUCAGGAGGCAAGAGGGCAAGGACAAUUCUCCAGCAUCUUUUCUUUUGGUCUAAGAAGAGGAAGAGAAGAGGAAUGGAUACUGCUUAGCUACAUCAGGGCAAGGUGCAAAGGAGAUUCAGAGGCUCAGGCCAUGUGGACUCUGUUGUCAUCUUUGCUGAAAAUCUGCCAG